rnacentral:rRNA from 1 species
UACGUAGGCAGCAAGCGUUGUUCGGAGUUACUGGGCGUAAAGGGUGCGUAGGCGGUUGUUUAAGUUUGGUGUGAAAUCUCCCGGCUCAACCGGGAGGGUGCGCCGAAUACUGAACGGCUAGAGUGCGGGAGAGGAGAGUGGAAUUCCCGGUGUAGUGGUGAAAUGCGUAGAUAUCGGGAGGAACACCAGUGGCGAAGGCGACUACCUGGCCUGUUCUUGACGCUGAGGCGCGAAAGCUAGGGGAGCAAACGGG